UACGAACCGUACGAACGUUAUUCGGAAUCACUGGGCUUAAAGGGUGCGUAGGCGGCAGGGUAAGUUUGAUGUGAAAUCUCCGAGCUUAACUCGGAAACUGCAUUGAAUACUAUUCUGCUCGAGGUUUGGAAGGGGGACUGGAAUUCUCGGUGUAGCAGUGAAAUGCGUAGAUAUCGAGAGGAACACCAGUGGCGAAGGCGAGUCCCUGGACAACACCUGACACUGAGGCACGAAAGCUAGGGGAGCAAACAGG
rnacentral:rRNA from 1 species